rnacentral:tRNA from 1 species
GCCGGUGUAGCUCAGUUGGUAGAGCAGCUGAUUUGUAAUCAGCAUGUCGGGGGUUCAAGUCCCUUCGCCGGCU